rnacentral:rRNA from 1 species
UACGUAGGGACCAAGCGUUGUUCGGAUUUACUGGGCGUAAAGGGCGCGUAGGCGGCGUGACAAGUCACUUGUGAAAUCUCCGGGCUUAACUCGGAACGGUCAAGUGAUACUGUCGUGCUAGAGUGCGGAAGGGGCAACUGGAAUUCUUGGUGUAGCGGUGAAAUGCGUAGAUAUCAAGAGGAACACCUGGCGGCGAAGGCGGGUUGCUGGGCCGACACUGACGCUGGAGGCGCGAAAGCCUAGGGGAGCGAACGGG